rnacentral:lncRNA from 1 species
CAGGUAUGUCCACCCACCGUGCCGACAGUCUGGCUGCUCUUGAGCAUGAGCUGUCUCAUGUCAACAAAGAUGCUGACUGUCUGGCUUCUCUCAAGGCUGAGCUGAUUAAUUGCAUCAAUGCUACUGAUUGUCUGGCUUCUGUUGGGACUGAGACAACCAUGUCCACCCAGCCUACUGACAGUUUGGCAGCUGUUGAGCCUGAACAUAAUUCCACCAAUGCUGCUGCCUGUCUGGACUCUGUUGAACAAGAGCCAGCUAAGCCCACCCACAGUGCCGACAGUCUGGCUGCUCUUGAGCAUGAGCUGACUAAUUCCAACAACACUGCUGACUGUCUGGCUUCUCAGAAGGCUGAGUCAAUUGAUUCUACCAAUGCUACUGAUUGUUUGGCUUCUGUUGGGACUGAGACAACUAUGUCCACCCACCCUGCUGACAAUAUGGCUACUGAUGAGCUUGAGCCUACACAUUCCACCAAUGCUGCUUACUGUCUGGCUGCUCUUGAGCCUGAGUCGACUAAAUCCUCCAGUGCUGCUGACUGCCUGGCCUAUGUUGAGCCAGAGCCAGCUAUGUCCACCCACCGUGCCGACAGUCUGGCUGCUCUUGAGCAUGAGCUGUCUCAUGCCAACAAAGAUGCUGGCUGUCUGGCUUCUCUCAAGGCUGAGCUGAUUAAUUCCACCAAUGCUACUGAUUGUCUUUCUUCUGUUGGGACUGAGACAACCAUGUCCA